rnacentral:rRNA from 1 species
UGCAAGUCGAGCGGAUGACGGGAGCUUGCUCCUUGAUUCAGCGGCGGACGGGUGAGUAAUGCCUAGGAAUCUGCCUGGUAGUGGGGGACAACGUUUCGAAAGGAACGCUAAUACCGCAUACGUCCUACGGGAGAAAGCAGGGGACCUUCGGGCCUUGCGCUAUCAGAUGAGCCUAGGUCGGAUUAGCUUGUUGGUGAGGUAAUGGCUCACCAAGGCGACGAUCCGUAACUGGUCUGAGAGGAUGAUCAGUCACACUGGAACUGAGACACGGUCCAGACUCCUACGGGAGGCAGCAGUGGGGAAUAUUGGACAAUGGGCGAAAGCCUGAUCCAGCCAUGCCGCGUGUGUGAAGAAGGUCUUCGGAUUGUAAAGCACUUUAAGUUGGGAGGAAGGGCAGUAAGCUAAUACCUUGCUGUUUUGACGUUACCGACAGAAUAAGCACCGGCUAACUCUGUGCCAGCAGCCGCGGUAAUACAGAGGGUGCAAGCGUUAAUCGGAAUUACUGGGCGUAAAGCGCGCGUAGGUGGUUUGUUAAGUUGGAUGUGAAAGCCCCGGGCUCAACCUGGGAACUGCAUCCAAAACUGGCAAGCUAGAGUACGGUAGAGGGUGGUGGAAUUUCCUGUGUAGCGGUGAAAUGCGUAGAUAUAGGAAGGAACACCAGUGGCGAAGGCGACCACCUGGACUGAUACUGACACUGAGGUGCGAAAGCGUGGGGAGCAAACAGGAUUAGAUACCCUGGUAGUCCACGCCGUAAACGAUGUCAACUAGCCGUUGGAAUCCUUGAGAUUUUAGUGGCGCAGCUAACGCAUUAAGUUGACCGCCUGGGGAGUACGGCCGCAAGGUUAAAACUCAAAUGAAUUGAC